rnacentral:rRNA from 1 species
UCGAACGGAGACUGUUUAGCAAUAAGCAGUCUUAGUGGCGAACGGGUGGGUAACGCGUUGGUGACCUGCCCCAAAGUGUGGGAUAACAGUUCGAAAGGACUGCUAAUACCGCAUGUGGUCUUUAGGAUUAGAUGCCUGAUGACUAAAGAAGCAAUUCGCUUUGGGAGGGACCUGCGUCCCAUCAGCUAGUUGGUAAGGUAACGGCCUACCAAGGCUUUGACGGGUAGGGGACCUGAGAGGGUGACCCCCCACAAUGGAACUGAAACACGGUCCAUACACCUACGGGUGGCAGCAGUAGGGAAUAUUGCAUAAUGGGCGAAAGCCUGAUGCAGCAACGCCGCGUGCGCGAUGAAGGCCUUCGGGUCGUAAAGCGCUUUUCGAGAGGAUGAGGAAGGACAGUACUCUCGGAAUAAGUCUCGGCUAACUACGUGCCAGCAGCCGCGGUAAAACGUAGGAGGCAAGCGUUAUCCGGAUUUACUGGGCGUAAAGCGCGUGUAGGCGGUCUGGAAAGUUGGAUGUGAAAGCUCCUGGCUCAACUGGGAGAGGUCGUUCAAUACUUCCAGACUAGAGUAUGGUAGAGGGAGGUGGAAUUCC